rnacentral:rRNA from 1 species
UACGAAGGGGGCUAGCGUUGUUCGGAAUCACUGGGCGUAAAGCGCGCGUAGGCGGAUUGUUAAGUCAGGGGUGAAAUGCCGAGGCUCAACCUCGGAACUGCCUUUGAUACUGGCAAUCUUGAGUCCGAGAGAGGUGAGUGGAAUUCCGAGUGUAGAGGUGAAAUUCGUAGAUAUUCGGAGGAACACCAGUGGCGAAGGCGGCUCACUGGCGUCGGUACUGACGCUGAGGUGCGAAAGCGUGGGAGCAACAGG